GGAAUAAGUAGUUUGCAGAUUUUUCUCGAUGCCAAGGAGUGAUUCCCACCACCCGGUCCUUGGGCAAUAUUGCAGCGUGUGAACCGAGUGGACAGUGAAUCCCUUACUGAUGUGGAAGGCCAAGCCUGGUUCCUGCAAUAGUUGAAAAUACAAGGAGGAGGAAAUACAAAUAGUAGAAAGAAGAAAAAAGUAGGUCAGUGAGAAAACACCCAACUCUCCACAUCUGUGUACUUUCACCUGUGAAAAAAGUGGCACUAUCCAGGUGUGAGAGGAAGAAAGAGAAGCUUGGUGGGGAGGGAACCCAAGUCAACGCCCGCCUGCUUUACAGUUUCUCCCGGGCCAUGCUGCAUACUCCUCACCAGUUCAUCUUCAGCUCUCCUCCAGUAAUAAAAGCUGUGCACCCAGGUACCCUUCCAAUCACCUCAAUGGGAACGCCAGCUAAUAUGAUGUGUUGUCAAUCCCUGAAGCUCCUCAGACAGAGCUCCUGGGAAAUUUUCCCUGGCAUGAGAAGAAGGUUAAUAGAUCUCUUCUCUGUCCAUUUCUCUAAUCUGACUUUAUUGGCCAAAUUUGCAAACCCAAGAUGAACAGGGUGAGUGUGGUAGCUAAAUGCAGGGUUGUAAGCCAGACAAGUCUGAGUUUAGACUGUGACUCUGUAGCUGACUAGUUUUAUGGCCGUGAGCGUAUUUAGCUUUCUUGGCCUUCGUUUCUUCAAGUAAAUAACAUCUGAAAGGAGAAAACGUCUAACUUGCCAGCUACAGUGAAGAGAAUACAUGUCCCUACAUGUUCUAACACAGUAAGGACUCCACAAUGGCAGCUAUUACCAGAACUGCAUGAAGACUCAGGUCCACAUGGUCAUAUGUGUUAAUGGUCAAUACCUGCAGGGAACUCUUGCCCUGUAGCUCUGGGAAGAUAUAAGAAAAGAUGAGGACCUUUGAAAGUCCACAUGAAGUGGAAGUUAGACAGCUAGUGGGCAAUUCUCAGAAGCAGCCAUCACAUUUUCAAAUUUGCCUAAGCAGAAAUUUGGUUCAGGGCAAUUCUGAAGCAAAAGAGCAAAAAACUUGUUUCAAUUAUUUUUUACUAUAUCAAGGAAGUUUAAUGAUACAUUGCAGAACUUAAUUAAAGGAGAGACUUGCAUUUGGAACCAAAUAAACACCUUGGACAUUUUAGAAAGGAACUUUCUUACUCUAAGUUCAUAUUAGGAAACACUAACUAAAACUUCUAAGUAUGUCAUGGGUUAUUAGGCGCAAACAGGAGUGAUGCUAUACAGAUUAGACAUAAUUUGACAUAAUGAUUAGAUGUAAUUGUUCCUAUCAAGGAGCUUCUAGUAUGAAGAGCAGAGAUUCUCAACCUGAGGAUUGUGGACAUGGAUGAGCUUUGGAGGACAAACAAACCUCCAGAAAUUGUAUACGCGAUUGUGUGUGUAUUUGUGGACAAUUUCUGGUCUGAAGGUUCAGAGCUUUCUUAAGAUUCUCAAAAGAAUUUUUUAAAAAAAGUUU